rnacentral:ncRNA from 2 species
AAUGGGAAUGCUGUGUAAUUCAGCAGCUGUGCCGCAGCGGUUAAAGCCCGAAUACCA